rnacentral:rRNA from 1 species
UCCGGAGGUGACCAGCCUUGUUCGGAAUGACGGGGCGUAAAGCGCGCGUAGGCGGAUUUGCAAGUCGGGGGUGAAAUCCCGAGGCUCAACCUCGGGGCUGCCUUCGAUACUGCAAGUCUCGAGUCCGGAAGAGGUGAGUGGAAUUCCUAGUGUAGAGGUGAAAUUGGUAGAUAUUAGGAAGAACACGAGUGGCGAAGGCGGCUCGCUGGUCCGGUUCGGACGCUGAGGCGCGGAAGCGUGGGGAGCAAACAGG